rnacentral:rRNA from 1 species
UACUACUUGGAUAACCGUGGUAAUUCUAGAGCUAAUACAUGCUAAAAAUCCCGACUGUUUGGAAGGGAUGUAUUUAUUAGAUAAAAAAUCAAUGCUUUUCGGAGCUCUUUGAUGAUUCAUAAUAACUUUUCGAAUCGCAUGGCCUUGUGCUGGCGAUGGUUCAUUCAAAUUUCUGCCCUAUCAACUUUCGAUGGUAGGAUAGUGGCCUACCAUGGUUUCAACGGGUAACGGGGAAUAAGGGUUCGAUUCCGGAGAGGGAGCCUGAGAAACGGCUACCACAUCCAAGGAAGGCAGCAGGCGCGCAAAUUACCCAAUCCCAAUACGGGGAGGUAGUGACAAUAAAUAACGAUACAGGGCCCUUUCGGGUCUUGUAAUUGGAAUGAGUACAAUGUAAAUACCUUAACGAGGAACAAUUGGAGGGCAAGUCUGGUGCCAGCAGCCGCGGUAAUUCCAGCUCCAAUAGCGUAUAUUAAAGUUGUUGCAGUUAAAAAGCUCGUAGUUGAACCUUGGGCUUGGUUGGCCGGUCCGCCUUUUCGGCGUGUACUGGACCCAACCGAGCCUUUCCUUCUGGCUAACCUCUCGCCCUUGUGGUGUUUGGCGAACCAGGACUUUUACUUUGAAAAAAUUAGAGUGUUCAAAGCAGGCCUUUGCUCGAAUAUAUUAGCAUGGAAUAAUAGAAUAGGACGUUAUGGUUCUAUUUUGUUGGUUUCUAGGACCAUCGUAAUGAUUAAUAGGGACGGUCGGGGGCAUCAGUAUUCAGUUGUCAGAGGUGAAAUUCUUGGAUUUACUGAAGACUAACUACUGCGAAAGCAUUUGCCAAGGACGUUUUCAUUAAUCAAGAACGAAAGUUAGGGGAUCGAAGAUGAUCAGAUACCGUCGUAGUCUUAACCAUAAACUAUGCCGACUAGGGAUCGGGUGUUGU